UACGUAGGGUGCAAGCGUUGCCCGGAUUUAUUGGGCGUAAAGGGCGCGUAGGCGGCUUGGCAAGUGGAAGGUGAAAUCCCUCGGCUUAACCGAGGAACUGCCCUCCAAACUGCUUCGCUUGAGACCGGGAGAGGUGAGUGGAAUUCCCAGUGUAGCGGUGAAAUGCGUAGAUAUUGGGAGGAACACCAGUGGCGAAGGCGGCUCACUGGACCGGUACUGACGCUGAUGCGCGAAAGCGUGGGGAGCAAACGGG
rnacentral:rRNA from 1 species